UACAGAGGGUGCGAGCGUUAAUCGGAUUUACUGGGCGUAAAGGGCGCGUAGGCGGUUAGUGGAGUGUGAUGUGAAAGCCCCGGGCUCAACCUGGGAAGUGCAUCGCAAACGGACUAACUGGAGUAUAAGAGAGGGUGGCGGAAUUUCCGGUGUAGCGGUGAAAUGCGUAGAGAUCGGAAGGAACGUCGAUGGCGAAGGCAGCCACCUGGCUUAAUACUGACGCUGAGGCGCGAAAGCGUGGGGAGCGAACAGG
rnacentral:rRNA from 1 species